UAAGUGGAGGAAAAGAAACUAACAAGGAUUCCCCUAGUAACGGCGAGUGAAGCGGGAAAAGCUCAAAUUUAAAAUCUGGCAGUCUACGAUUGUCCGAAUUGUAAUCUCGAGAAGUGUUUUCCGCGUUGGCCUGUGCACAAGUCCCUUGGAACAGGGCGUCAUAGAGGGUGAGAAUCCCGUCCUUGGCACAGACACCCAAUGCUUUGUGAUACACUCUCAAUGAGUCGAGUUGUUUGGGAAUGCAGCUCAAAAUGGGAGGUAAAUUCCUUCUAAAGCUAAAUACUGGCGAGAGACCGAUAGCGAACAAGUACCAGUGAGGGAAAGAUGAAAAGCACUUUGGAAAGAGAGUCAAACAGUACGUGAAAUUGUUGAAAGGGAAACGAUCAAAGUCAGUAGGGCUAGCCUGGAUCCAACCUUAUGGUGUAUCUCCAGGUUGGCAGGUCAGCAUCAGCAGGGAGGGUUAACAAGGCAGUUAGGAAUGUGGCAACCUCGGUUGUGUCCAGCCUAGCUUCGCAUUGAUCCUGAAGGCUGAGGAACGCAGCCUCCCGCCAGGCUGGUCCCGGACUCAUCGCACAUACGAUGCUGCAAG
rnacentral:rRNA from 1 species